AUACAUAUGUUACUUUAGUUUUCAGAAUUAUGUUAAUGUAACUUUUGAACAGACGGUCGGACAUUUUUGAGCUUAAUGUAUAAAAUGUAGAGCUCGUCGAGAGGAACAUUUUAUACACAGUAUGUAUGCAGCAAACUCUUAUCGUUUUCUUAAUAUGCAAGCUUGAAAUUGCAGCGUACAUUUUUUUUGCACUCUGUGACCUUUGACCUUGGGUGCAAAUUGAAGGUCACAUGAACUUAAGAUUAUUGGUGUAGGUCCCAAGUCUCUACGACUUCCGGUUCUCGAAAUAGAAUUUUUCAAAAAUUGUGUAUAAUUUUGAAAGGGAAAUAACUCCUUAUAAGGGUUAAUAACAAACUAAUUGUUCAUGUUUAUUAACAUUGCCAUUUGUUCUUGUUGAUGCUGCCACUUUCAAUUUGAUUCUAUGUCUAAUA